rnacentral:hammerhead_ribozyme from 1 species
AUUCAGCUGAAGAGUUCAAACACAGGACGAAACGCUCUUCCUGGAU